AAGGAUUUAAGUUAAGUGAAACUAAUAGCCUUCAAAGCUGUCAUUAGAGAGUCUCUAAGCCUUG
rnacentral:tRNA from 1 species